rnacentral:rRNA from 1 species
AGGUAAGCUACUAAGAGCGAAUGGUGGAUGCCUUGACUGGUAAAGGCGAUGAAGGACGUACUAGACUGCGAUAAGCUACGGGGAGCUGUCAAGAAGCUUUGAUCCGUAGAUUUCCGAAUGGGGCAACCCAAUGUAUAGAGAUAUACAUUACCUAUAUAGGAGCGAACGAGGGGAAUUGAAACAUCUUAGUACCCUCAGGAAAAGAAAUCAAUAGAGAUUGCGUCAGUAGCGGCGAGCGAAAGCGCAAGAGGGCAAACCCAGUGCUUGCACUGGGGGUUGUAGGACUGCAAUAUGCAAGAGGUAAGUUUAGCAGAACAUUCUGGAAAGUAUAACCAUAGAGGGUGAUAGUCCCGUAUGCGAAAAACAAACCUUAGCUAGCAGUAUCCUGAGUAGGGCGGGACACGAGGAAUCCUGUCUGAAUCCGGGUCGACCACGAUCCAACCCUAAAUACUAAUACCAGAUCGAUAGUGCACAAGUACCGUGAGGGAAAGGUGAAAAGAACUGAGGUGAUCAGAGUGAAAUAGAACCUGAAACCAUUUGCUUACAAUCAUUCAGAGCCCUAUGUAGCAAUACAGGGUGAUGGACUGCCUUUUGCAUAAUGAGCCUGCGAGUUGUGGUGUCUGGCAAGGUUAAGCAAACGCGAAGCCGUAGCGAAAGCGAGUCUGAAUAGGGCGCUUAGUCAGAUGCUGCAGACCCGAAACGAAGUGAUCUAUCCAUGAGCAAGUUGAAGCUAGUGUAAGAACUAGUGGAGGACUGAACCCAUAGGCGUUGAAAAGCCCCGGGAUGACUUGUGGAUAGGGGUGAAAGGCCAAUCAAACUUCGUGAUAGCUGGUUCUCUCCGAAAUAUAUUUAGGUAUAGCGUUGUGUCGUAAUAUAAGGGGGUAGAGCACUGAAUGGGCUAGGGCAUACACCAAUGUACCAAACCCUAUCAAACUCCGAAUACCUUAUAUGUAAUCACAGCAGUCAGGCGGCGAGUGAUAAAAUCCGUCGUCAAGAGGGAAACAACCCAGACUACCAGCUAAGGUCCCUAAGUCUUACUUAAGUGGAAAACGAUGUGAAGUUACUUAAACAACCAGGAGGUUGGCUUAGAAGCAGCCAUCCUUUAAAGAAAGCGUAAUAGCUCACUGGUCUAGUGAUUUUGCGCGGAAAAUAUAACGGGGCUAAAGUAAGUACCGAAGCUGUAGACUUAGUUUACUAAGUGGUAGGAGAGCGUUCUAUUUGCGUCGAAGGUAUACCGGUAAGGAGUGCUGGAGCGAAUAGAAGUGAGCAUGCAGGCAUGAGUAGCGAUAAUUAAUGUGAGAAUCAUUAACGCCGUAAACCCAAGGUUUCCUACGCGAUGCUCGUCAUCGUAGGGUUAGUCGGGUCCUAAGUCGAGUCCGAAAGGGGUAGACGAUGGCAAAUUGGUUAAUAUUCCAAUACCAACAUUAGUGUGCGAUGGAAGGACGCUUAGGGCUAAGGGGGCUAGCGGAUGGAAGUGCUAGUCUAAGGUCGUAGGAGGUUAUACAGGCAAAUCCGUAUAACAAUACUCCGAGAACUGAAAGGCUUUUUGAAGUCUUCGGAUGGAUAGAAGAACCCCUGAUGCCGUCGAGCCAAGAAAAGUUUCUAAGUUUAGCUAAUGUUGCCCGUACCGUAAACCGACACAGGUGGGUGGGAUGAGUAUUCUAAGGCGCGUGGAAGAACUCUCUUUAAGGAACUCUGCAAAAUAGCACCGUAUCUUCGGUAUAAGGUGUGGUUA